GACAGAGGGUGCAAACGUUGCUCGGAAUCACUGGGCGUAAAGGGCGUGUAGGCGGGUAGGUAAGUCAGAUGUGAAAUCCCCAGGCUCAACCUGGGAACUGCAUUUGAAACUCCCUUUCUUGAGUACCGGAGAGGAAAGUGGAAUUCCUGGUGUAGAGGUGAAAUUCGUAGAUAUCAGGAGGAACACCAGUGGCGAAGGCGGCUUUCUGGACGGUAACUGACGCUGAGACGCGAAAGCGUGGGGAGCAAACAGG
rnacentral:rRNA from 1 species